AAAGCCGGGUUACGGUGCCAAAUUGCGCGCUAACCUAGAUCCCACAAAGGGUGUUGAUUGAUUAAGACAGCAGGACGGUGGUCAUGGAAGUCGAAAUCCGCUAAGGAGUGUGUAACAACUCACCUGCCGAAUCAACUAGCCCCGAAAAUGGAUGGCGCUUAAGCGCGCAACCUACACCCGGCCAUUGGGGCGAGUGCGAGGCUUCAAUG
rnacentral:ncRNA from 1 species